GACGUAAAUGGGACAAAUUGCUUGGGGAUUUUAAUCUCAAAUUGUUGAAGUGGAUUUUGGGUUGAAGUGGAUAAAAAUUGGUUGGGGAUUUUUAUAUAGGGCAUGUUUGUUUCGGCGAAAGUGGACUUUGAAUUGAAAUAGAUAUUAGGUUGAAGUGGAGUUCGGUGAAUCGACGUCGCAUCUCGAAGCGCUCUUCUUAAUUCGAAUGUGCAUUGACAUCAAGCUCUUUUCAGCACUUAGUGGGGCGAAUUUUUUCAGACCCAUUAAUUAAAA
rnacentral:lncRNA from 1 species